rnacentral:ncRNA from 1 species
CCCGCUGUACCGUCAGCGGAGCCUAUCGCUCGCAAAGUAACUGGCAACGGUUAUGAGGAAACGGAGCGAGACACAGUAGCCCUAUCAUCAAAGGAUGAAGCUGAAACCGUGAGGGGACGGCAAGGCUGCCAGCAGCAAGGCGGCCAGGG